CGACACGGGGAGGUAGUGACAAUAAAUACUGAUACAGGGCUCUUUUGGGUCUUGUAAUUGGAAUGAGUACAAUUUAAAUCCCUUAACGAGGAACAAUUGGAGGGCAAGUCUGGUGCCAGCAGCCGCGGUAAUUCCAGCUCCAAUAGCGUAUAUUAAAGUUGUUGCAGUUAAAAAGCUCGUAGUUGAACCUUGGGCCUGGCUGGCCGGUCCGCCUCACCGCGUGUACUGGUCCGGCCGGGCCUUUCCUUCUGGGGAACCUCAUGCCCUUCACUGGGCGUGUUGGGGAACCAGGACUUUUACUUUGAAAAAAUUAGAGUGUUCAAAGCAGGCCUUUGCUCGAAUACAUUAGCAUGGAAUAAUAGAAUAGGACGUGUGGUUCUAUUUUGUUGGUUUCUAGGACCGCCGUAAUGAUUAAUAGGGAUAGUCGGGGGCAUCAGUAUUCAAUCGUCAGAGGUGAAAUUCUUGGAUUGAUUGAAGACUAACUACUGCGAAAGCAUUUGCCAAGGAUGUUUUCAUUAAUCAGUGAACGAAAGUUAGGGGAUCGAAGACGAUCAGAUACCGUCGUAGUCUUAACCAUAAACUAUGCCGACUAGGGAUCGGACGGUGUUAGUAUUUUGACCCGUUCGGCACCUUACGAGAAAUCAAAGUUUUUGGGUUCUGGGGGGAGUAUGGUCGCAAGGCUGAAACUUAAAGAAAUUGACGGAAGGGCACCACCAGGCGUGGAGCCUG
rnacentral:rRNA from 1 species